CGCCCCAGCCGUUACCCACCACCCAGAGCACGCGGCGGCUUGUCGCCGUGCGCGCCACUGCCGCCACCGCGCCGGAGAGAAGCCAUCCAGCGUGCGCCAUGGCCAUGGCGCCUCACGCCUCGGCGGCCGCCGCCCCCUCACUGCGCUUUCCCCACCCUUCGUCGGCCACCGGCCUCUCCUCGCCUCUCGCUGGGGGCUGCGGCGGAUUCCGGGUUCAGUUCCACCCCACCCGGCGGGGCUGGGGUAUGCAGGGGCGCCGGGAUGGUGGCUCCCACGUGGCGCGCGUGGGGGGUUUUCUGGGCGGCGUAUUCGGCGGCGGUGGCCGCGACGACGGGGAGUCGACGCGGAAGAAGUACGCGGACACCGUGGCGCGCAUCAACGCCAUGGAGCCCGAGGUCUCCGCGCUUUCCGACGCCGACCUGCGAGCGCGCACUGCCGCGCUCCAGGAGCGGGCGCGCGCCGGAGAGUCCCUUGACUUCCUCCUCCCCGAAGCAUUUGCUGUUGUGAGGGAGGCUUCCAAGAGAGUUCUAGGCCUUCGUCCUUUUGAUGUUCAGUUGAUUGGUGGCAUGGUUCUUCACAAGGGGGAGAUUGCAGAAAUGAAGACAGGAGAGGGGAAGACGCUUGUGGCUAUUCUGCCAGCAUACUUAAAUGCUUUGAGUGGGAAGGGAGUGCAUGUUGUCACUGUAAAUGAUUAUCUUGCAAGACGUGAUUGUGAAUGGGUUGGUCAAGUUCCCCGAUUUCUAGGACUGCAGGUUGGCUUAAUUCAACAGAACAUGACACCUGAGCAGAGGAGGGAAAAUUACUCAUGUGAUAUUACUUACGUCACAAACAGUGAGCUUGGCUUUGAUUAUCUAAGAGAUAACCUUGCAAUGACUGUAGAUGAGCUUGUCUUGAGGAACUUCAGUUACUGUGUGAUAGAUGAAGUUGAUUCAAUUCUUAUUGAUGAAGCAAGAACCCCACUUAUAAUAUCAGGCCUAGCUGAAAAGCCAAGUGAUCGGUAUUACAAAGCGGCAAAGAUAGCUGAAGCUUUUGAGCGAGACAUUCAUUACACUGUUGAUGAAAAGCAGAGAAUUGUUUUACUUACAGAGCAAGGCUAUGCUGACGCUGAAGAAAUACUGGACAUAAAUGAUCUAUACGAUCCUCGUGAACAGUGGGCUUCAUACGUUCUAAAUGCAAUCAAAGCUAAGGAGCUUUUUCUUAGAGAUGUCAAUUACAUAGUUCGUAGCAAGGAAGUGCUUAUUGUGGAUGAGUUCACUGGCAGAGUUAUGGCGGGCAGGCGAUGGAGUGACGGUCUCCAUCAAGCAAUUGAAGCAAAAGGUGUACCUAUACAAAAUUAAACAAUAACUCUGGCAUCAAUAAGUUACCAAAACUUCUUUCUUAAGUUUCCCAAACUCUGGCAUGACUGGAACUGCAGCUACAGAGAGCCAGGAGUUCGAGAGCAUCUAUAAACUAAAAGUCACUGUCGUUCCAACAAACAAGCCAAUGAUACGGAAGGACGACUCAGAUGUUGUUUUUAGAGCAACAAAUGGAAAAUGGCGUGCUGUUCUUGUGGAGAUAUCGAGAAUGAAUAAAGUUGGGCGUCUUGUGCUUGUUGGUUCCACUAGUGUUGAGCAAAGUGAAUCUUUAUCAGAACAAUUGCGUGAAGCUGGCAUUUCUCAUGAGGUCCUGAAUGCUAAGCCAGAGAAUGUUGAGAGGGAGGCAGAAAUCGUCGCUCAGAGUGGACGCCUUGGUGCUGUGACAAUUGCCACCAACAUGGCAGGACGUGGAACUGAUAUUAUCCUUGGUGGCAAUGCAGAAUUCAUGGCCAGGUUGAAGUUGCGUGAGAUCCUUAUGCCAAGAGUUGUCAAUCCAAUAGAUGGUGUCAUUGUAUCAAAGAAGCAGAUGCCACCAAGAAAGACAUGGAAGACAAACGAAAGCUUGUUCCCAUGUGAACUUUCAAAAGAAACAUUAUCAUCUGUCAAAGAUGCUGUUGAAGUGGCUGUUAAAGAAUGGGGAGAGAAAUCAUUAUCUGAGCUGGAAGCAGAAGAGCGGUUGUCCUACUCAUGUGAGAAGGGACCAACACGUGAUGACGUAAUAGCAAAUUUGAGAAAUGCAUUUAUGAAGAUAGUAGAUGAAUAUAAAGUCUACACAGAGGAGGAAAAGAAGAAGGUCAUUACAGCAGGUGGGCUUCAUGUAGUAGGGACAGAGCGCCAUGAAUCACGCAGAAUUGACAAUCAGCUCCGAGGUCGAAGUGGCAGGCAAGGGGAUCCUGGAAGCUCUCGCUUCUUUCUUAGUCUUGAAGAUAAUAUCUUUCGGAUCUUUGGAGGUGACAGGAUACAGGGUCUGAUGCAAGCCUUCAGAGUUGAGGAUCUUCCUAUUGAAUCAAAAAUGUUAACAAGGGCCCUAGAUGAAGCUCAGAGGAAAGUUGAGAACUACUUUUUUGACAUCAGGAAGCAAUUAUUUGAGUAUGACGAGGUGUUGAAUAGCCAGAGAGAUCGUGUAUAUGCAGAAAGAAGACGUGCCCUUGCUUCUGAUAGUCUUGAGUCGCUUAUUGUGGAAUAUCCUGAAUUAACAAUGGAUGACAUAUUAGAGGCAAAUAUAGGCCCUGAUACUCCAAAGGAAAAUUGGGAGCUCAGCAAGCUUAUAGCUAAACUACAGCAGUAUUGCUAUCUUUAGGAUGACUUGACACCAGAAUUGUUGGAGAGCAAAACUUCAAGCUAUGAGGAUUUGCGGGAGUAUCUUCGUAAGUGAGGACGUGAAGCAUACUUCCAAAAAAACUGUUAGUUGUUUGAAAUUGUGGAGAAGCAAGCUCCUAGCUUGAUGAAAGAAGCUGAGCGGUUCCUAAUUUUAAGCAAUAUUGAUAGGCUCUGGAAAGAACACCUGCAGGCACUAAAGUUUGUGCAACAAGCUGUUGGUUUAAGGGGUUAUGCCCAACGAGAUCCCCUUAUUGAGUACAAACUUGAGGGAUACAACCUGUUCUUGGACAUGAUGGCUCAAAUCCGGAGAAAUGUUAUUUAUUCAGUAUAUCAGUUCAAACCAGUGGUGAAGAACCAAGAAGAGGAAAAACCCCAGAAUAAGGGGUCCAAAAAGGAAGUGGACAAAGGUGCUAAUAAACUUGGUGCUGCCCAAGCUGCAUCAUGAUCGACCUGUGAGAAAUGUUGCGUUGUGCAAAGUUGCACUUGGUGGUGGCAAUCUCCAUGUGUAUACCCUCUCUUACACUGUAUCACCCUAUGUGAUGAUUGACAUUUCAGUGCAGGAGAAAUGUGAAGAGCAAUUCAAUGUGGCAGCUUAUACUGGGACACAGCUUCAAUAUGUAGCUUUUUACUUGAAUUGUGGGUCCUGCGGGCAAAUUUUGCAUGGCAACUGAGCACACUGUUCAUAGUAUGAAUAGCAUCACAAUUUAGUAGUUGUACAUAAAUAGAAUUUGCCAUAGGAAGAGUUUUGUUCCUGUACCCACGGUUUUGUAUAAUGUAGUAAUCCAUUCUUGCUGGCAGAAAUCACAUCUUUUGCAGGGUUAACAUGA